AUUGAACGCUGGCGGCAGGCCUAACACAUGCAAGUCGAACGAGUGGCGGACGGGUGAGUAAUGUCUGGGAAACUGCCCGAUGGAGGGGGAUAACUACUGGAAACGGUAGCUAAUACCGCAUACCCUCGGAUGUGCCCAGAUGGGAUUAGCUAGUAGGUGGGGUAACGGCUCACCUAGGCGACGAUCCCUAGCUGGUCUGAGAGGAUGACCAGCAACAGUGGAACUGAGACACGGUCCAGAGUCCUACGGGAGGCAGCAGUGGGGAAUAGUGCAAAAUGGGCGCAAGCCUGAUGGAGCAAUGCCGAGUGUAUGAAGAAGGCCUUAGGGUUGUAAAGUACUUUCAGCGAGGAGGCGUUACUCGCAGAAGAAGCACCGGCUAACUCCGUGCCAGCAGCCGCGGUAAUAC
rnacentral:rRNA from 1 species